rnacentral:rRNA from 1 species
GAUGAACGCUGGCGGCGUGCUUAACACAUGCAAGUCGAACGGUGAAGCAGAGCUUGCUCUGUGGAUCAGUGGCGAACGGGUGAGUAACACGUGAGCAACCUGCCCCUGACUCUGGGAUAAGCGCUGGAAACGGCGUCUAAUACUGGAUAUGAGCUGCGACCGCAUGGUCAGCAGUUGGAAAGAUUUUUCGGUCUGGGAUGGGCUCACGGCCUAUCAGCUUGUUGGUGAGGUAAGGGCUCCCCAAGGCGUCGACGGGUAGCCGGCCUGAGAGGGUGACCGGCCACACUGGGACUGAGACACGGCCCAGACUCCUACGGGAGGCAGCAGUGGGGAAUAUUGCACAAUGGGCGAAAGCCUGAUGCAGCAACGCCGCGUGAGGGAUGACGGCCUUCGGGUUGUAAACCUCUUUUAGCAGGGAAGAAGCGAAAGUGACGGUACCUGCAGAAAAAGCGCCGGCUAACUACGUG